ensembl:lncRNA
CUCAACGUGGCUCUGUUGAGGUCACCUUGCUGCAUCUCGCCUCUUUCCCUCCACGGCUUGGAUCUAUUAUCCCUGGGAAGUACUCCACCUGUGGGAGUCUAUCUGCCUCUCUGCCAUGAUCCAGUCUCUCCCAGACCUUUCAGCUCCCUCAUUAAAUAUUGAACAAAAAAUUAAUGGGCACCUGGUGUGCAGGAGGGACUGUGCAAUCGACUGCGAUACAGUGAAGAGUCACAUAGACAUGGCCCCUUCUCACGGAGACCUGCACCUGGGGCAGAGCACAGCGAUCCAAUAAUGACUUACCUAAAGGCUUAGUUACAACCAAGGCAAGUGUCGUGAAGAAAGCACCGCUUCACAUCCCCCACAUCUUCCAGGUCUGCAGAUGCUUCCUCUUCCAAAGGACGCAGCUCCGAUGUGCCUUCUGGGAGGCACCACAGAGAUGCUUGGCACGCGUCUCCCACUGCCCUUCCUUCUCGACUUCACUGCAGGAAUCGCCCUGCAGUGGCACCACUUCUUCUCAAGUCUGACAGUAAGCCCCUGCAGACCAGAUGCCACAUCUUCCUACAGGUGCUGGAGAGGAGGGCGUAGCCUCCAUGUAGCCCUCAGUGAACGACAGACCCGAGGCAUCCACCAAUGCUCAUUAAAGUGGUUUCCAAGCGUUCCAGAAUAUGUGGGAGAAAAUAUACCCUUGGAAAUGUUGAAAUGUUUUAUAAGCAAGCACAUCCAGUUCCUGGGCAGCUCCAACUUGCUUGGCUCUCAUUUGCCCGACGGCUCAGCUGCAAUGCUGCCAAGGAAAACAGUCAUUGAAAGUCACACAGGUAAGGUGUGGUGUCACAAAUCAGUCACACCCUGCUUCUUGCCACAGGGACAAAUUGAUGACAUUGCAGGAGACACAGAUAUCCUCAUCUCUGAGUGGAAGACUGAUGUGGCUCCACUCCCUCCAUAUGAAGCAGUAAGCGAGGACAAUGCUCAGAGCCGACCUCUGGGUGGUUCCCAGAAUGUGGGGUGACCCAGCUGCAUACACGAGCCUGUCACACCACCACAGGCUCCCUGUCACCAGCACUCAUCUGGGCGGCACAACCUUCUCAGAGUGGACUGGGAUGUUCUCAUCAUACUGCAUGCAUUCAUUUUCUUUUGCUGCUGUAGCAAACUACACAGACUUGGUGGCUUCAAAUGACACAAAUUUAUUCAGAAGUCCAAAAUCAGUUUCAUGAAGCGAAAGUAGAAGUGUUGGCAGGGCUGGCCUCCUCUGAAGGCCCCAGGGGAGAAUCGCUUUGCCCUUUCAGCUUCUAGCAGUCACCCGGAUUCCUGGACUUGUGACCCCUUCCUCUGCCUCUACACUGUCCCUCCAGUCUCUGUUACCAUCAUCACAGUCCCUACUCCUGUUCUGCGGUCAGAUCUCCCCCGCCUCCUCACAAGGACACUUGUGAGGACACUGGGCCCACCUGGGUAAUCAGGAGCAUCUCCGCAUCUCAAAACCCUCAACUUCAUCACAUCUGCAAAGUCUCUUUGGCCAUAUAAGGUGACAUGUACAGAUUCUGGGGAUGAGGACAUGGAUAUCUUUAGGGACUGUACUCAGCCUUGCAUGCUGGGCCAGGGUGUGCAGUCACCAUUGAUGAAAGCUCAGUUUAUCACUGGGAGAUCCUCCUUCACUGGGGCUUCCAUGGCUG